rnacentral:rRNA from 1 species
UCAGAUGAACGCUGGCGGCAGGCCUAACACAUGCAGUCGAGCGGAGGAAGGGAGCUUGCUGCUGGAUUCAGCGGCGGACGGGUGAGUAAUGCCUAGGAAUCUGCCUGGUAGUGGGGGAUAACGUCCGGAAACGGACGCUAAUACCGCAUACGUCCUAAGGGAGAAAGUGGGGGAUCUUCGGACCUCGCGCUUCAGAUGAGCCUAAGUCGGAUUAGCUAGUUGGUGGGGUAAAGGCCUACCAAGGCGACGAUCCGUAGCUGGUCUGAGAGGAUGAUCCGUCACACUGGAACUGAGACACGGUCCAGACUCCUACGGGAGGCAGCAGUGGGGAAUAUUGGACAAUGGGCGAAAGCCUGAUCCAGCCAUGCCGCGUGUGUGAAGAAGGACUUCGGGUUGUAAAGCACUUUAAUUUGGGAGGAAGGGCAAUAAGUUAAUACCUUGCUGUUUUGACGUUACCAACAGAAUAAGCACCGGCUAACUUCGUGCCAGCAGCCGCGGUAAUACAAAGGGUGCAAGCGUUAAUCUGAAUUACUGGGCGUAAAGCGCGCGUAGGUGGUUCAGCAAGUUGGAUGUGAAAUCCCCGGCCUCAACCUGGGAACUGCAUCCAAAACUACUGAGCUAGAGUACGGUAGAGGGUGGUGGAAUUUCCUGUGUAGCGGUGAAAUGCGUAGAUAUAGGAAGGAACACCAGUGGCGAAGGCGACCACCUGGACUGAUACUGACACUGAGGUGCGAAAGCGUGGGGAGCAAACAGGAUUAGAUACCCUGGUAGUCCACCCCGUAAACGAUGUAGACUAGCCGUUGGGAUCCUUGAGAUCUUAGUGGCGCAGCUAACGCGAUAAGUCGACCGCCUGGGGAGUACGGCCGCAAGGUUAAAACUCAAAUGAAUUGACGGGGGCCCGCACAAGCGGUGGAGCAUGUG